rnacentral:rRNA from 1 species
UACGAAGGGAGCAAGUGUUAUUCGGAAUCAUUGGGCGUAAAGGGUGUGUAGGCGGUUUAUUAAGUUAGUUGUUAAAUUUCACUGCUUAACGGUGAGUGUGCAAUUGAUACUGAUGAGCUAGAGGGUGGAAGAGAGGAGUGGAAUUCUUGGAGUAGCGGUAAAAUGCGUAGAUCUCAAGAGGAACACCAAUUGCGAAGGCAGCUCCUUGGUCCAUACCUGACGCUGAAACGCGAAAGCGUGGGGAGCAAACAGG